UCCAGAGCGGCGGAGACUGUGACUG
rnacentral:miRNA from 1 species